rnacentral:rRNA from 1 species
UACGUAUGGGGCAAGCGUUAUCCGGAUUUACUGUGUGUAAAGGGAGCGUAGGCGGCGGGGCAAGCCUGAUGUGAAAGCCCGGGGCUCAACCCCGGGACUGCAUUGGGAACUGCCCUGCUGGAGUGCCGGAGGGGCAGGCGGAAUUCCUAGUGUAGCGGUGAAAUGCGUAGAUAUUAGGAGGAACACCAGUGGCGAAGGCGGCCUGCUGGACGGUGACUGACGCUGAGGCUCGAAAGCGUGGGGAGCAAACAGG